rnacentral:rRNA from 1 species
GAGAGUUUGAUCCUGGCUCAGGACGAACGCUGGCGGCGCGCCUAACACAUGCAAGUCGAACGGAGUUUGUUGGAUUGAUCCUUCGGGUGAUUGAUAGCAAACUUAGUGGCGGACGGGUGAGUAACACGUGAGCAACCUGCCUUACAGAGGGGGAUAACGUUCUGAAAAGAACGCUAAUACCGCAUAACAUAUUGAGUGGGCAUCCACUUGAUAUCAAAGGAGCAAUCCGCUGUAAGAUGGGCUCGCGUCCGAUUAGCCAGUUGGCGGGGUAACGGCCCACCAAAGCGACGAUCGGUAGCCGGACUGAGAGGUUGAACGGCCACAUUGGGACUGAGACACGGCCCAGACUCCUACGGGAGGCAGCAGUGGGGGAUAUUGCACAAUGGGGGAAACCCUGAUGCAGCGACGCCGCGUGAGGGAAGAAGGUUUUCGGAUUGUAAACCUCUGUCUUCGGUGACGAAACAAGACGGUAGCCGAGGAGGAAGCCACGGCUAACUACGUGCCAGCAGCCGCGGUAAUACGUAGGUGGCAAGCGUUGUCCGGAAUUACUGGGUGUAAAGGGAGCGUAGGCGGGAGUGCAAGUUGAAUGUGAAAACGAUGGGCUCAACCCAUCGUUGCGUUCAAAACUGCAUUUCUUGAGUGAAGUAGAGGUAAGCGGAAUUCCUAGUGUAGCGGUGAAAUGCGUAAAUAUUAGGAGGAACACCAGUGGCGAAGGCGGCUUACUGGGCUUUAACUGACGCUGAGGCUCGAAAGCGUGGGUAGCAAACAGGAUUAGAUACCCUGGUAGUCCACGCUGUAAACGAUGAUUACUAGGUGUGGGGGGACUGACCCCUUCCGUGCCGGAGUUAACACAAUAAGUAAUCCACCUGGGGAGUACGACCGCAAGGUUGAAACUCAAAGGAAUUGACGGGGGCCCGCACAAGCAGUGGAGUAUGUGGUUUAAUUCGAAGCAACGCGAAGAACCUUACCAGGUCUUGACAUCGGAUGCAUACCUAAGAGAUUAGGGAAGCCCUUCGGGGCAUCCAGACAGGUGGUGCAUGGUUGUCGUCAGCUCGUGUCGUGAGAUGUUGGGUUAAGUCCCGCAACGAGCGCAACCCUUAUGUUUAGUUGCUACGCAAGAGCACUCUAGACAGACUGCCGUUGACAAAACGGAGGAAG